AUUGAACGCUGGCGGCAGGCCUAACACAUGCAAGUCGAGCGGAUGAAGGGAGCUUGCUCCUGGAUUCAGCGGCGGACGGGUGAGUAAUGCCUAGGAAUCUGCCUGGUAGUGGGGGAUAACGUCCGGAAACGGGCGCUAAUACCGCAUACGUCCUGAGGGAGAAAGUGGGGGAUCUUCGGACCUCACGCUAUCAGAUGAGCCUAGGUCGGAUUAGCUAGUUGGUGGGGUAAAGGCCUACCAAGGCGACGAUCCGUAACUGGUCUGAGAGGAUGAUCAGUCACACUGGAACUGAGACACGGUCCAGACUCCUACGGGAGGCAGCAGUGGGGAAUAUGGGACAAUGGGCGAAAGCCUGAUCCAGCCAUGCCGCGUGUGUGAAGAAGGUCUUCGGAUUGUAAAGCACUUUAAGUUGGGAGGAAGGGCAGUAAGUUAAUACCUUGCUGUUUUGACGUUACCAACAGAAUAAGCACCGGCUAACUUCGU
rnacentral:rRNA from 1 species